UAUAGUUUCAGUUUAGGUAGAUGUCACUUUUGGUUUGUUUCUUCUUGUUCGUUUCUUCUGUAGGUUGAUUCUGUUUCUUCUUGGGGUGUGGAUGAGUAAAAUGACCCCAGGGAAGUGGCCAAAGGCCUCUGGAAGACUUAAUCAGGCCCUGGACAUGGGUCCAGUUAUCUCCACUCUGAUGAUGGAAUGUAUCGCCAAUGACUAUUAGGAGCCAAUCUCACUUUCCAGCUCAGUCUGUUGUGAUAACAGUCAAGAACAAAAAGGAUUCUUAGAUGGUGGUAAUCCUUUCAUAUUUAUUUCUGCCCUUCAUGUAUAUAAACUAAGAAAAUCAAGUCAAAAUCUUAUGAACUGCUAA